rnacentral:rRNA from 1 species
UACGGGGGGGGGCAAGCGUUGUUCGGAAUUACUGGGCGUAAAGGGCUCGUAGGCGGCCAACUAAGUCGGACGUGAAAUCCCUCGGCUUAACCGGGGAACUGCGUCCGAUACUGGAUGGCUUGAGUGUGGGAGAGGGAUGCGGAAUUCCAGGUGUAGCGGUGAAAUGCGUAGAUAUCGGGAGGAACACCAGUGGCGAAGGCGACUUUCUGGCCUGUUCUUGACGCUGAGGCGCGAAAGCUAGGGGAGCAAACGGG